GGGCGCCCGGCGGCUUUUUCUCGCCGCCGUUGCCUCGCACAAGAUGGCCGCGGCUGGGGAGCGCCCUGCAGCGGAGGGGCUGGCGGGGCUCCAGGCCGGCCGGCCGGGCGGGGAGGACAAAGGCAGCUCGCAAAAUGCAGCCCAAGCCUUGGGAGCCUAUAAAUAACGCCGCCCGCCCCUCGCCUGCCUCCCUUCCCCCUCUCAGCCGCAGCCUGCGGCUGGCUUUUUAUAAAUACCAAAAGAUGGAAGCAGCCUAAUGCGGUGGGGGGUGGGGAGGUGGGGGGGGGGGGUAAAAAAGAGCAACAAACAACCUCCUCCUGCUUAAAAAAAAAAAAAAAAAAGAAAAAAAAAAAUCAGAGGGGGGAGAAAGGCAGGCAAAUGAGCUGGCCGCGGGAGGAGCAGGGCGGCGUCGCCAGGCUCCCCGCCUGGAGCGGGCUGCGCCCCGCCAACGUGCCGGGGGAGCGCGGCCGCCGCUCGUCACACGGCUCCUCGGUUGUUUUUUUUCCUUCUCCCGGGUUUCCCCACACCCUCGCCCCGCCACCGCCGAGCUGCUGCGGCCGCUGCCGUGCCUCUUGCCGCCUGCAGCCGGGGAGGAGCCGGCCCGGCCCGAGCGGGGCCGGCCUGAGGCGCCCACAGCCGAGGGCUCGCUGCCGGGCCGCCAUGGCCCCGCUGAGGUGUUCCUGUUGUGCUUGGGUUUGGUGGCGUUUUUUCAUCCUUGGCUUUUUUUUUUUUUUUUUUUCUUUUUUUCUUCAUCCCGAGCAGCUUUCCCUGCAGCUCGCUUCGGGUGGAGGCGUGGGGUUCUGGUGCUUUUGUCUUUUCGGAGCUUCGUGAGCCUCGUUGGGGAGCUGCGCCGUGUCCUUCGUGACAAAACGAGAUGGGGCAGGGCCGGGAGGGGAGCGAGCAAAACCCCUCGGGGCUGGCACGGGGGGAGGAAGGGGAGGAGGUGAGGAAGGGGAGGAAGAUGAGGUGAGGAAGAUGAGGUGAGGAUGUGAGGAAGGUGAAGGUGAGGAGGUGAGGAAGGUAAGUGCCGCCGGGCCCCGCAGCUUUGGUUAAACCCGUGCCGUGCUGCGUGCCGAGGCUCCAGCCCUGCUGCCCUGCCAAGGAGGUAAUUUCGCAACAACGUCAGGUUACGCUUUCUUUUUUCCUUUUUUUUUUUUCUUUUAUUUUUUUUUCCUCCUUCCCCUUCCCACCCUCACCCCCCUCUUCGGUCUUCAGUGCUCCCCGCACCCCAGGCAGUUCGGAGCAAGCAGCAAACCUGUCUGCACAACACAACACAUCUCCACCAGGAGGAAAGGAAAAAAAAAAAAAGAAAAAGGAAAACCAAACCCUCCGAACUGCUCGCAGACGGGCUCCCUUCGGGCUCUGGUGCCCCUCGGUGCCAGCAGCCCCCCCGGCAGCCCUGUGGGGAGCGCCUCGGCCUCCCGGCAUGGGACGAAAUGGCCGAAGCUGGCAGCACAGAGAUCAGAGCACAGUGUGGAGCCGUGCCUGGGUUUGCAGGGUGGCUUCUGGUGUCCUGUUUCCUAUUUGGAACUGUUGUUUUUUGUUCUUUUUUUACCACUCGCAUCACGAGUUCAAUCAACGUGUAAAGCGAUUAAGAAAAUUAGCUGAUUUAAACAGCAUCGGCCAUUAAAUUCCCUGGGAUUUUAAGCUGACGUCUAAGUAGGUAUCUGGAUAUUAACAAUUCCGCAUUUUAACUUAAACCUCAAUUUCAGUCUAUUUAACCCUGAAGCAAACUGGCUCUGCCUGACACAGCCCAGGCUUCAAAACAAGUCAGCCAGCCCAUAAUACUGCGGGAGCUCAGACAGCUUUGUCUGUACGUGCACCUUCCUGUGCCUUUUUCCAGGGCUGUAAUCUCGGUGAGUGCUUGGUCCCCGUUGGGGACGGGUGUCCCCACGCUGCCAUCCGCGAGCGGCUCCGAUCUGGAGGUCCUGGAGCUGGUGCCUGGUGCUGGCAGGGCCGGAUCCUGCCGAGGCGGCGAGCGGGGUACAGCAGCCCCAGUGCUUGGUGUGGGUCCUCAGCACUGCUGGAAAUUGCUUUUGUAAGUCUGAACUGAAAAAAUUUCUUUACGUUUUCAGGGUUUCUAAAUGACUGUAAUGUUCGGUGUAGCUUAAAAGUCACCCGGGCAGUUGAGACCAGUUGCGCUCCCGGAGUGGGUGGUUUAAUGGCUGAAGCUCGUAUUUGAAAAGCUGAGUGUUCUGGUACAGCGUGUUUAAAUCCCAGAAAGGUCAAACCAGACUUUCAUACCGAGUUAGAUUGACCCUGGUUUACUGCGUGAGACUCUUUAGAGAAAGAAAGAGAUCUUUCAGGGGAAAGGGAAAAAAAAAAAAAGAUUUUUUCCUCCGAAUGGCCUGUGGUGGCUCUACGCACAUUCUUAAAGCAGCAGGGUUUGUUCUUGCCCACAGCGUCCCUCCCCUAUAUUGUUGAGCCGAAAACUCUUAUGCUAAUUCUUUUAGUGUCUGUUAUCAAUAAGAAGUUGUUUAAUUUCUUUGGCAAAGUGUUGCAACUAAAGCAAAUUAGAUCGAGAGGCAAAGUGAAAUAAAAAAUAUGCAGCUGCUCUGCCAAACAAUGAUCGUGACUGUUUACAGCGUUUUGUUUUAGACUGGCUUGUACACAGAAUCCUUUAUAUCGAAGGUUUGCAUGUCACAAUCCAUUGCUUGUGCAAGCAGACUAGAUUAAUAGCUUAUAAAGGACAAAAGGGACCUAGGUUCAUCUGGUUAGACUUCCUGCAUUAUGCAGGUCAUAAGAUAUUUGGGAGUUGCCUUUUUUCAUUUCAGAGAAUUUAACAAUAGCAUAGCAGCGUCUUAGAAAAGAGAUCAGAAUUCCAUUUUAAAAUGGCCUCUGAGACAGAGUAAAAUAAGAGUUGGCAGAUUGCUUCCAUCAAAAUCGACCUGACAGACUGGAGAUUAAGAUACCUCACUAAAAGUGAGCUUUGUCUGGUUUCUGCUUUCAAUUAUCAGACACUGCUGCAUGUCUGUCUGCUGGACUGAGCGCUCCAUUACCAGGUUUCUGUCCCCGUGUAGCUGUGUACAGAGCGGUAACUGAGCAUUUAGUGCUCCCUUUGCAGGCUCACAGAGCGCCCCUCGGGUCCGGAUUUACCGAUCCUGUCCUUGCUGCCGCUGUGCUUCCCUAUGAGCUCUCCAGUUCUUCCCAUUUUGAUCGGGGCACCCAGAACAAGACAGAGCACCCGGUGCCGGCAGCGUGCUCGGCUGAGGUUUCUGUUACGCAGCCAGGGAUUGCUCCAGCCCGUGCUCAGCUGGUUUUCCUGCACUGCUCCUGAAAUGCUAUCCAACCUGCUCCUUCCUGGGACAGCAUCCCUGUCCUGUCGGCUUCUGCUUUGUUCUGUCAAUGGCCUUGCACUUGAAAAGGGCAGUCCUGAGACAGCAUUCUUGCUUGCAGUGGCCUUUUUUUAUACAUCCUGCUGCUGUUACCAGCCAGGUCUGUAGGGGACAUGUAAUUACUGCAAGUUUUCUUCUCAGCUCGUUGAUGAACGCUGCUUCUGCCCCUGCUGUAGGAGUGUCCCAGUUCCAGGUGUGUGCGUGCCUCAGCCUUGCCAAUACUGAGUCAGGAGGAGAUCUGAUCUACGCCAUCCCGUGCCGCACCCAGCCCGUGGGAGGAAAGCCCAGUUAAGGAGCUGGAAGGGAGCCUGAGGCUCGCUGCAGCGUGCGCCCGCCCUGGUGACUAAAGCAUAGCUAUUAAAUAGCAUAGCUAUUAAAUAACACCAGGCCCGAACCAGAUAGUUGCAGGACCCAUAAAAGAAAGAUAACAGCUGUAGGACACGGUGAUUACUGCUGCACUUUGAGACGUUGUUAGAUGGAUUUUACUCCAUGUGAUCACGCCGUCUUGGUUUUUAAUUCUCUACUCCUGAUCAUGUAAAUGCUUCGCAGGGGUUGAAGUAUAGCAUAUCAACCAUCUCCUACUAGUGAUACUACCUGAAUCAUCUAAUCUUGAAGCUUCUUCAGUUUCUCUCUCAGCAGCUAAACUCACAGAGCUCUGCCCCGGUGGACUUGCAGUAGAAAUCUCCCAGACUCACCUUCCAGUUCAGCUGAGCAAGCAGAAACGUGCCAGGGGCCAGCUUGGGCUGGGCAGAGUCCUGCUGCCUUUCCCCUGCAGCUCCACGGUGCCUCCUGUACCGCUCUGCUCAGCUGCUCUUCCAAGACCUAGGCAUGUUUGGGGCUGCUAACCCACUGCCAAAUUUGAUGGAGGCUGGAGGAAGGAGGGGAAAAAUGGCACAGAACUACACGGUCACGUUAGACUUAAUUUUAGGAAACGAGGCUAAAAAUACCGAAAGAACAUUGAGGAGGAAUACGGCCUGGGUAUUUGCCUGUUCAGUCUUUUUUUUUUUGGCCAUGACAUUUUUCAUUUCUUCCUAAGUACAGCAGAUCAGACAGCUAGGAAAUUUCUCAGCCAAAAUACGCAACCUCCUGACAGAUGGCACCUGUGUUCCAGCAUGCUCUGAGGACGCAUGGGAUACAGGGACUGGAUAACGACCGGGAGGUACUGGUCUGCUGUCUUGUUUCAACUGCCUGGGUACAAAGAGAGAUAUCUUCACACCCAACAGGGGGACAAACACUUAUUUUAAGAUCCAUACAACUUUUGAUGGACACGUUGGACAUGUGCCAGGGCUGUUUUUUUUUUUUUCCUUUUCCUUUUAAACUGCAUCUGUUCAUUUUAUUUCUGGUAGUAUUAUGACAAAGCCACCUCUGUAAGGUAGGUAGUGAGUGCUUUCAGAGAUCUAAUCAUUCUUGAGCUUUAAAAGAAUAAAAAAGCUGUUUCAACACCUGACUUGCAGAAUGUUUUGUGUUGCUACUUGCCAUUGAAAUGCAGCUGCUAUUGAAACGCCGUGAUCCCAUCAGUAUGUACAACCGGUUAUUGUUUGGAGCACUUUCAUGCUUACAAAAAUCAUUAAAUAAAUCAAGAAGGUUGGCAAUUCUAAUCAACGUUUUAAAGCUGUCAAAUUACUAAACAUUUCACUUCAUUGCUUCACGGCAUAAACAGUAGGGUUUUUUAAAGGGGAAAAAAAAAGAAUUACCAUUUUAGAAAUUCUAGCACUCACAGGGGUUGCAUCAAAAGCACACAAAGACAGAGAUAAGUGAGCUGGGAAGGUUUUUAUGCGUUAAAAUACUCAUGUGUCUGGACACCUAUCGUUAAGCAGCCUAAACACGGUGCUGGUUGGAGACCUGUGAGCCUUUUUAACAAACGCAACGCACGAGGGAACGUCUGAUUAGAAGUGAUGGAGCACCAAGCGCUACAGCCAGCAAAGCAACGACAAAGAUGGAAUGGAAGGAGUUCAGCUUACAAACCAGAGCAUUUCCUUCUAACUGCGACACGAGAUCAGAGGUGGCUUUUUGCCCUUGACGUUGUUGCUCCUGUAUCAGCGAGUGAGGAUCCCCAUCCUGAUUUGUUUUUUUUUCAGGAGGGUUGGGAGCUCAGCCCCGGUUCUGGCCAGGAUGUGGGGAAGUGGCUGCCUUGCCAUCCAUCCCGCCUGCAUAGCAGCAGCGCCCAGUUGCUAAGCAGCUGCAGAGCCGGCCUCGCUGCGCCACCAAUCAGCUGUGCUAAGGGAGCAGCACGGGGUCCUCCAUCGAGCGCAGAGGAGCCAGCAGCGGCCAUGGUGGAAUUGUUUUCUGCUUGUUUGCUGCCCUGGCUGGCUCGCAGGACCCCGAGACGAAGGAGCAGGAGCAGGGGAGGGCGAGGGAGAGGCAGCAUAUGUGCACAGCGGAGGUUACAAAGCCAGCAGAUCUGAGCAGAGCAGGGGGCACGCGCCCAGGAGAAAGAAAUGGGAGAGAGGCCAAAUGCACAGUUCGGAAUAGAAAAAAACAAAACAGGAGGGGAGUGCAGCAUAUGGAGAGGGGAAAUAAAGCAGAACUUGCACAGGCUGCGAAUAAUUGAAUAGGAAAAUACAGGGAGAGAGGAAAGGAGCUUGAUUCAUUACUGCCCUUCACCUUGCAGAGACAGCAUCACCCGGGAAAAGGAGGUGUGGAACACAACAGCGUCGUUCAUGUUUCUCAACAGACUAAUUUGGUUGAGAAUUUACGCUUCAGUGAGGAAUAGAAGACUUGAAAGUGCUCCUAAGCACCCACUGCAUCAGGCGGAGACGCUGCGAUGUUGAUUUACACUCUUCAAAUCCAUAGAUUUUAUUUUUAUUUUCCACAGCUGCAAAGCCAGGAACUUGGGUUUUAGUGAAAGGUGAGAUCCAAAAUACUGGCCAUGUACAUAUCAGAUAGGAGAAAUUUGGCCCAUGUAGUUGGCAUCGUGAUUUAAAGCCUACUGGAGAAAAUAACCCAAGAAACAGAACGCGUGCCCUAUAAAUAGCUACUCUCUAGGUAGCAGUCAAGCUGUGGUUUAUGAACAAAAUCAGUCCAAAUUAUCUCACAGUGCCCGAAUAUUCAUCGCCUGGUUUUGCUGAGUUGCGUGUCUCAUUUGGCCAACGCCUCCUGUUACAGACACUUGUCCUGUUUUCUUUCCAAGCCCUCUGAGCUCUAUGGUAGCAUUUGGACGGAUUUUGUGUAGAGUUUAUUGAAGGAUUUUUGCAGUGAUUUAGUGCACGGGCUGGUGGAGCCAAGUGAAACAGGAACUUUAUUCCUCAAGCAUGAAAAGGCAGAAAGGGAAAUUUCUUACUGAAAUAUAAUUUUUCCACGUUACUUAAUAGUCUAGAAAGUUAAUACGUUUUUAUUGGGGAAAAAAAAAUACAGUUCCUACUGAGCCAACCAACAAUAUAAUAACGUUUUAGAAACCUCUUAGAAACUGGCAGGUGUCACAGGCACCUUGCCUUCAGUGAAAAAGGCAAUUGAGACCCCUCCUGAAAAAAGGGAUUUGCAUCAGUAGGGGCCACUACACAAUAACCAGGCACAUGGCAAGGCCUGAAUAGACGGUGAAUCAUGUGGCCCAAGGGAUUUUUCUGGAUUUUGGGGGCGGGGGUGUGUGUGUAAAAUAUCAGGCCGCGAGGACCAGAUGGUAGAGCUCUGCAUGUGCAAGAGAAACAGCAAGAAGCACGACAGAAAUGGAUACUGAGAAGCAGCUGAAAGUCAAGGAGGCCGGGAGCUUUGAUUUUGAAAAGAGAUUUCCUGUGCGGAGCGAGGGCCGAAAAAGGCUUGGGGUUGUGAGCAAAAACACAAUUAAAAAAAACAAUUUUGUACAGCUAUUCUGUAAAUAAAUGGAUCUGACUUGAGUACGUA